UACGUAGGCAGCGAGCGUUGUUCGGAAUUACUGGGCGUAAAGAGUGUGUAGGUGGUGUCGUAAGUUUGGUGUGAAAUCUCCCCGGCUUAACUGGGAGGGUGCGCCGAAGACUGCGAUGCUGGAGUAUGGGAGAGGAAAGCGGAAUUCCUGGUGUAGCGGUGAAAUGCGUAGAUAUCAGGAGGAACACCUGCGGUGUAGACGGCUUUCUGGACCAUUACUGACACUGAGACACGAAAGCGUGGGUAGCAAACAGG
rnacentral:rRNA from 1 species